CCGACCUUAGCUCAGUUGGUAGAGCGGAGGACUGUAGAUCCUUUGGUCGAUUGUUCGAAUCCGGCAGGUCGGA
rnacentral:tRNA from 1 species